rnacentral:sRNA from 1 species
CAGAGGAGAAGGAUGGCUGAUGAAAACUGGAAUCUUCCGCAGGAUUUUCUCAAUCCUCUGAGGCGGCUACGAAGAUGUGUGCUUUAAUUCUGCCAGAUCUAAGAAUAUGGUUACACUGCAGACGAUGAUUAACAGAAGUUGAGUCUUUUUUUUCUAGCAAGAUUCCAGUCAGGGCCGGUCCUGGGCUAAAGCUGGUGAAGUCCAUGCUUUAGGCGCUAAAAAUAUAUCAAGAAUUUUAGGGCAUCAUUUUCGUGAGAAAUGCAUUUAGUGUAGCGGUAGUGUCUUACUUUCUUAGGCAGCAGGUCUUAAGUUUGAGACUAUAUGAGUGUUAUUCGUAAUCUAUAUAUACAUUUUUGCAGCAACUUUGUGAAAUAAAUCCUGGAGUUGGGAUUUAUUUACAGCGGCUGCCACUGGCAUUUUAAUAAUUGUUUUUGAUAAUUAGAAAGAAAAUCUUCUAAUUAAAUAUUUGACAUUUAACAAUCUUCCCAAAAUCUCUCUACUUUAACUACACAAUUAAUUACUAAAAUAAAACUUCCAAAAUAUUUAAUAUCAUUUAAUUACUACAAAAUAUCAUUUUUGAUAUUGCUUUUCUGCAUGAUUAUAAUCAUCAAACCGAGAUAUUUGAUAGAAUUUAAUUACUACAAAAUUACAAAAUAUUUAGACAAUAAUUCAUAAACAUAUCAUAAAUAAGAUCAACAUUAAUAAAAUAAAUGAGUUUGUUUUAGAGGACGGGUUUGGCAGGAUGUUACUUAAUAACAAUUGUAAACUAUAAAAUUAA